UCGGCCUCCCAAAGUGCUGGGAUUACAGGCGUGAGCCUCUACAUCCGGCCAGCAAUGGAUUUUUUAUCCUACCUCCCAUAUUGUUAUUUUCCAGCUGACAUUUGGAAACUAAAAGUCUCCCUGUGGUCCUUGCAGAAUAUUCCAUGCAUUUUUGUGCUCUGGAUCAAAGGAAGGUCGCUUCAUACACAGGGAAACGCAAUGAGAGACGAGCCAGGACAGGUGGCAUCUUGACCUCAUGUUUAGAGGCCUGGCCACCGUGGAAAUUUCCAGAAACAAACACCUUGGGGACCCUGGAUCCACUGGCGGCCAUUUCUCUUGAGAGAGGCUGGCGGUGCAGGUCAAGGAAGGAGGGAACGCUUAGGCAGCUGCUCUUCAGAAAUCUGAGACCCACCUCCCUUCCAUUCCAUUCUGGAGAGAGCAGGAGACACCUCAGAGAGGCUCAAACCACAGCCCAGGAGGAAGCCUUUCCAACAGCGUCCUUCCCAACACGGCUGGUCUGGGUGGCCCCUGAGAGGGUCUGCGGUGAACUGUGUGCAUCUGUGUGUCCUCUAGCCCCGCAGGGGUUAUGCAUUCGAAUCAUCGACAUUCAGUUUGCAGUUCUUCCUGGAGGCACAUGCCGAGAUCCCAUUGCUGGGCUUGGUCUGAGACCAGCUUUGGCCAAUGUCAAGGGGAUGCCAGGACAAAAGCCCAUCUGAGCAGAGGCUACCAGAGGCCAGUGUUAAAGAAAAAAGACUUCAUGACACUUGUUUAAGCUUGGUAAGGAAGACUUUGCCACCAGCAUGUCUCCAGUAGGGACUGGAAUGGUCCAGGAAUUCCUGCUGCUCCAGGAAUGAGCAAACAAGUGGCUGAUCUGCAGCCCACCUGAGCCCACCUGAGAUGCCAGCACUGGGGCACGUUCUGGGCGUGUUUGUUACUGCAACAAAGCUGAUUAAUGCAGCCUCUGCUGUUGAUUAACUUGGUCAUGCAGGGAGAGAAACUGAGUGCUCCCAGCAUAUUGAUUAUAAGAUGGGUGCUUUUGGAGUAGAAAGGGGCUUUGGAAAAACACUGAAUUUAAGUAGAGUCCCUGCUGCAUGGAAGACGGUCACCUGGCUUGCCCUUCCUGAGCACCUAAAAGCUCAUCUUUGUGCUGGUGAACAUAAAAAUGACAAAAGCGCUGAAGUUGUCAACUAAUUUUCAAAACAAAACCUCUAACUAUAGUUCAGUGAUACAGUGAGAUGCGUUGGAUUUGAUGUUGUUUAAGCACGCUGUGGCCUGCCAGUGGGGGAAUUUUCAGGGAAUUCUUACCAUUGCAGCUCACGAGGAAAUAAAAUGAUGACCACAA